UGCCGCAGAGAAGUUGUUAAGCUCGCCGCCUGGGAAGUACGGCCGCAAGGCUGAAACUUAAAGGAAUUGGCGGGGAGCACCACAAGGGGUGAAGCCUGCGGUUCAAUUGGAGUCAACGCCGAGAAACUUACCGGGGCUGACAGCAGUGUGAAAGCCAGAUUAAGGGUCUUGCCAGACAAGCU
rnacentral:rRNA from 1 species